rnacentral:rRNA from 1 species
GCUUAGCCUUAAACCUUAAUAAAUCCAUAACAAAAUUAUUCGCCAGAGAACUACAAGCCAGAGCUUAAAACUCAAAGGACUUGGCGGUGCUUUAUACCCACCUAGAGGAGCCUGUUCUAUAAUCGAUAAACCCCGCUAAACCUUACCACUCUUUGCCAACUCAGCUUAUAUACCGCCAUCUUCAGCAAACCCUAAAAAGGAAUAAAAGUAAGCAUAAUUACCAUCAUAAAAACGUUAGGUCAAGGUGUAGCCUAUAGAGUGGAAAGCAAUGGGCUACAUUUUCUAAAAUAGAAUAUACGGAGGCCCCUAUGAAAUCCGAGGCUAAAGGAGGAUUUAGUAGUAAAUUAAGAAUAGAGAGCUUGAUUGAACUAGGCCAUAAAGCAUGC